rnacentral:rRNA from 1 species
CCGUCGGCUUCCGUGACCCGAACCCUCCGCAUGUUCGCUGACACAAUCCAGGCAGGUGAGCACCGGCAUUUGGGAUUAGGUUAGGGCUAGCUCCGCGCCGCCUCGCUGGCGUAUGAGGUUAGGUAGGUGAGGACUAAGCCAACGAAGGUUUUUUUCAGGGCUAACCUCCGCGUCGCCCUCGCUGGCGUAGCUUAGGUAGGUGAGGUCUAGGCUCCGCGUCUCUCCUAGGUUACGUAGGUCAGACAGGGCUAAGUUCCACGCCACCUGGCUGGUGCAGCUUAGGUAGGUCGGGCCUAAGCUCCGCGUCUCUACCGGUUAAGUAGUUAGGCACUUAGCGGCAGGCCGACCAGCAGAGAACUUUGACGAUGGCACCCAAACUUCCUUCAUUAGUGAGAAGUCAAAGAGAGGUCGGUAAGUACCACCUACUACACGCGGGGAACGACAGUAAUUACCUACGGACCGAGAAACAAAGAGUAAGAAGGCUACACAUAUAUACGAAGGAGAUGCGAGUGAGAAGAUUGAGGCCGCUGUCUUGUAGGUAGUCGUACCACGAGAAGAUCCAUAACAAGUUUGACCCUCUACCAGCUAACAAAACCGGUCUAUAACCUUUGACCAAGAGCGUAGAAAAAAAAGACUUUAAGAAGUCCACUAUCAAGAUUACCGAAGACCUGUCUAAUUUACCUUGUCACAUCAAUAUACGCGUUUUCUUACAUCGGUAUGACAAUAUCUCCCCCCCACUUCGGAGUCAUAGAAGAAGAUACGUCUUCACUCGUUUCGGGUUAUUAGAAUGGCUAUAAACUUUCAUACACACACCUAAAAGUUCUGUGCCACGUCCGAAACAACGUAGUAAGGUUCAUAUUCCGUUCUAUGUGAACCAAGUCAGACCCCCGUCACUACAGUCGUUUAGCAACCUUCUCUAGUCCUCCUCGAUAAAAUCAAUGCUGGACUCCGUGUUGCUCGUCCUCCUCAACCGGUUGACCUCACGAUCUAAGUCCCGUUCAAACGGAUUCGUGAAAAUAAUCAAGGCAACUAUUAUGGUCCUGACCUCUUGACUUUCGGGAACAUCUACGUUCUCCUUGUUCUAACUGUUGCCGGAAAACGUAACGUGAGAACUAUUUCGAAGUUCGAGUUCCGGAAGCUAUAAACACUUCAAAAGGUCCUUCUUCUAACUGAUAUCGUAGAACCUCACGUGAUUAUAAUUAUUUAUUUGGGAAGUUAUAAAAACAGCGGGUUUCCGAUGUUCAAGACAUUAAAUGGGGUUUAUGAAUCGUAAAAGAGAUUGGUUUAUACUCACAUUACAAAGUCUAGUAUAUAAGGGUCAUAAUAAUUCUGUAGUACAUA